CACAAAAUUAGGAUUCUAGUUCUUGCAAUCAAGCAUACUUUAAUUUUAAAAAAAUUAAAUAGCCCACAAAUUUCCCAUUCCCGCGGGCGCCUCAGUCCACUCUGUAAAUAAAUGAAUAUUAAAAAAAAAAAUUGCCCUAAAAAUUUGCACCCGCUCUCGACAAUUCCCACUCUUUCCAGAAGCCCCACUCUCUCCAGAAGCCCCAUUCUCAUUUAUGCUUUAAAAAUCCCUAAUUGCGGCAAGCAAAGAAACCCACUAAUCUGUUUCAAGGAAAGGUUGCCUUGCUUGCUUGGAUCGCGAUUCCCUAAGCUCUAAAUUGAAUCGUGACUCUUCUCCCCUCUCUCCGUCCUAAUUCAUGCAAUAGCCCCCUCAGAUGCUAAGGUUUUGCAUGCGUGUUUGGCUGUUCUGUUAGUCUGAUAACUCUAAGACUGGGGAGGCUCAAAUGGAUGGGUUAACCACAUUAACGGUGCCCCCUUUUUCACUUCCGGCAACCCAAGGGCUUUUGAAGGUUUUUGAAGGGCGGCCAGAAUUGCGACUUUGUUAGCUGUGGGGUUAGCGUACCUUACCUUAGAUGAUUUUGUGAGUUUGGGUCUAGGUCCAAGUUCUGGUAUGUACAGAUUUGUGUGUUUAUAUAUGUAUAGAUUAGAUGAUUUUUGCAUUUUCUUCUAUAUGCUUUAUACGAAUCGGUGAGGCUUGUUUGAUGAAUGCAUACAAUCUUUUUUUAUCUUUAGAUGCAUUAAUUAAACAAGCCCAUUUCAAUUAUUAAUUAAUUAAGUCUAUGAUAAAACAUACAAUAUAUAUUGUUUAGAGAUUAAUCACCAGUGAGGCCAUUUUCUAUCCUCUCAACAAUACCACUUGGGCAUGUUACAAUCGGAUUGCUUGUUCUUAGUUUCUUCUUUUCGUUGGUGUAGAGGUUUCUGUGUGUGUGUGUGUAUAUAUAUAUAUCUCACAUAUAACUAUUUAGAGAUGCAAACUUUCUCACAAGAUUAAUUUUGAUUGUAUGGUUGAUGUAAACUGGCUAUAUGUCUUGUUCUUGUAUAAUAUAUAAAAAUAACUUUAUGGGCUUGCUUAAUUUCUACUUUGUUCUUUUGCUUUUUCUUUUUUCAUUGUCAAUUUGAAUCCGUGACCAGCCUUCUUUAAUUUUUUUUAUUUUUAUUAUUUAUUUAUUGUUUAUUUAAUUUGUACUCACAUAACAAAUUAAUAACUUCUACUAUUUUAUUGUUCUUUGUUUUUUUUUUUAAUUUUUUAUUUUUCGAUAAAGUAACAAAAUUGUAUUGGGUAAAUAUGCUUCUAUCCCUCUGGAAGUCUCUGGAUUAGGGGAAUUAUGCAUGGUGGAGGAUUACACUGUUGUGUAGGUCAUUAUAAAUAUUUAAAAGAAAAUAAAAAGUUUUUUUUUUUUUUUUUU